rnacentral:lncRNA from 1 species
UUUUGAAAACCUUACCUCUCUUUUCAACGACAUGAGUUUUCUCCAAUCCCUUACACAUUUAAAGAUUAAAGAUUUUGAAAACCUCACCUCUCUUCCCAACGACAUGGGUUGUCUCCAAUCCCUUACACAUUUAGAGAUUUCUUCUUUUGAAAACCUUACCUCUCUUCCCAACGACAUGAGUUCUCUCCAAUCCCUUAUACAUUUAAAGAUUAAAGAUUUUGAAAACCUCACCUCUCUUCCCAACGACAUGGGUUGUCUCCAAUCCCUUACACAUUUAGUGAUUGUUCAUUGUCAAAAUCUUACAUCUCUUCCCAACGACAUAUGUCGUCUCAAGUCCCUCACUACUUUAAC